rnacentral:rRNA from 1 species
UUGGGACUGAGACACGGCCCAAACUCCUACGGGAGGCAGCAGUGGGGAAUCUUGCACAAUGGAGGAAACUCUGAUGGCACCAUGCCGCGUGAGCGAAAAAGCCUUAUGGUUGUAAAGCUCUUUCGUCGGGGAAGAAAAUGACUGUACCCG